CGAGCGGCAGCGGAAGUACCUUGCUACUUUGCCGGCGAGCGGCGGACGGGUGAGUAAUGUCUGGGAAACUGCCUGAUGGAGGGGGAUAACUACUGGAAACGGUAGCUAAUACCGCAUAACGUCGCAAGACCAAAGAGGGGGACCUUCGGGCCUCUUGCCAUCAGAUGUGCCCAGAUGGGAUUAGCUAGUAGGUGGGGUAACGGCUCACCUAGGCGACGAUCCCUAUCUGGUCUGAGAGGAUGACCAGCCACACUGGAACUGAGACACGGUCCAGACUCCUACGGGAGGCAGCAGUGGGGAAUAUUGCACAAUGGGCGCAAGCCUGAUGCAGCCAUGCCGCGUGUAUGAAGAAGGCCUUCGGGUUGUAAAGUACUUUCAGCGGGGAGGAAGGCGUUGAGGUUAAUAACCUCAGCGAUUGACGUUACCCGCAGAAGAAGCACCGGCUAACUCCGUGCCAGCAGCCGCGGUAAUACGGAGGGUGCAAGCGUUAAUCGGAAUUACUGGGCGUAAAGCGCACGCAGGCGGUCUGUCAAGUCGGAUGUGAAAUCCCCGGGCUCAACCUGGGAACUGCAUUCGAAACUGGCAGGCUAGAGUCUUGUAGAGGGGGGUAGAAUUCCGGGUGUAGCGGUGAAAUGCGUAGAGAUCUGGAGGAAUACCGGUGGCGAAGGCGGCCCCCUGGACAAA
rnacentral:rRNA from 1 species